rnacentral:rRNA from 1 species
CUGUCAGGUGGGCAGUUUGACUGGGGCGGUCGCCUCCCAAAAGGUAACGGAGGCGCUCAAAGGUUCUCUCAGUACGGUCGGAAAUCGUACGUAGAGGGUAAAGGCAAAAGAGAGCUUGAUUGCAAGACAUACAGGUCGAGCAAGGAUGAAAAUCGGACUUAGUGAUCCGGUGGUUCUGCGUGGAAGGGCCAUCGCUCAACGGAUAAAAGCUACCCUGGGGAUAACA